rnacentral:rRNA from 1 species
UGGCGGACGGGUGAGUAAUGUCUGGGAAACUGCCUGAUGGAGGGGGAUAACUACUGGAAACGGUAGCUAAUACCGCAUAACGUCGCAAGACCAAAGAGGGGGACCUUCGGGCCUCUUGCCAUCGGAUGUGCCCAGAUGGGAUUAGCUUGUUGGUGGGGUAACGGCUCACCAAGGCGACGAUCCCUAGCUGGUCUGAGAGGAUGACCAGCCACACUGGAACUGAGACACGGUCCAGACUCCUACGGGAGGCAAGCAUG